UUUUUAUGGGUUUUUAUAAUGAAUGGAAAAUCUAGAACUAUAUGAAGCAAGAUAGAACAAAAUAAGAAAAUGAUAGAGGUAUGGGGGAUGGAUCCUUGUUGCUGGAUGUGUAUCUCUCUCAACAAAAACAGUGGAUGUAGGUGGAUAGCUAUGGGAUUUGACUUGCUGGAUGUGUAUCACUCUCAAGGCAAAUCGAUGGAUGGAAUGGAGGUGAAGAAUCGCUAACCGGGGCUUCUAGCUCUAGUGGUAAAGGGCUUACAGCUGUGAGUACCGCCACCUGGGUUCGAAUCCCGGACACUGGGGAAUUAACAUUUCGGCAUCGCCAGGGACAGAGGACCGACACGUGGCAACACGUGCCUAGUCUGGAUCACUUCUGUGGGGCCAGGAUACCUCUGUAUAAUUCAAAAAAAAAAAAAAAAGGAAGAAUCGCCACAAGCUUGGUGGUUGAAGCUUGAUAAGACUCGGCUGCUCUCUCUUGUUUCUCACAGGAAAAAGACUUAGGGUUUCAAGGUUUGCAAAGGCAAAAUUAUUUCAUCAAAGACUUGGGCAAGAAUCGCCAACUACAUGAGGUUAUAUAGGGUUUACCCCUUAUGGGACUCAAAGAUAAAAGGCCUUAAACAAGCUGGCCGAAAAUGAGGCUGAAACAAUAGCCCAAAGUCUUAACCAAAUAAAUUAAAAUAAACCAGACAACUGGUUGUCGGUUUGAGAAGGCCUAGACC
rnacentral:lncRNA from 1 species